rnacentral:rRNA from 1 species
UGGGGAAUCUUGGACAAUGGGCGCAAGCCUGAUCCAGCCAUGCCGCGUGGAUGAUGAAGGCCUUAGGGUUGUAAACUGCUUUUUGCCGGGGGAUAAAAGGCCCCUGCGGGGGACAUUGAAGGUACCCGGUGAAUAAGCCACGGCUAACUACGUGCCAGCAGCCGCGGUAAUACGUAGGGUGCGAGCGUUAAUCGGAAUUACUGGGCGUAAAGCGUGCGCAGGCGGCUUUGCAAGACAGAUGUGAAAUCCCCGGGCUCAACCUGGGAACUGCAUUUGUGACUGCAAGGCUAGAGUACGGUAGAGGGGGAUGGAAUUCCGCGUGUAGCAGUGAAAUGCGUAGAUAUGCGGAGGAACACCGAUGGCGAAGGCAAUCCCCUGGACCUGUACUGACGCUCAUGCACGAAAGCGUGGGGAGCAAACAGGAUUAGAUACCCAAGUAGUCCCUGAGCGGGCUGGCAAGGCGCAU